rnacentral:lncRNA from 1 species
CAAAGUUUGAUUGACGAGAUGCUGCUCUUUUGCUGUGGCUGCUGGUCCCUGUGAAGGAUUUUUUUUCUACCAACACUUGGAAUUCAUUUCCACCACAAGAGGGCAGCCAUCUCUAAAAAACAACCAGAAAGCAGGACUCUUCCAUAAAUAGGGCCAAAAUUGAGGAAGUUGUGCUUGGGACAGGCAUUCAGCAGUCCCUCAGAAAUCUUACAUCAUACUUGAAAGAAAUCCUGUGAUGGG